GACGAACGCUGGCGGCGUGCCUAAUACAUGCAAGUCGAACGCUUUUUCUUUCACCGGAGCUUGCUCCAUCGAAAGAAAAAGAGUGGCGAACGGGUGAGUAACACGUGGGUAACCUGCCCAUCAGAAGGGGAUAACACUUGGAAACAGGUGCUAAUACCGUAUAACACUAUUUUCCGCAUGGAAGAAAGUUGAAAGGCGCUUUUGCGUCACUGAUGGAUGGACCCGCGGUGCAUUAGCUAGUUGGUGAGGUAACGGCUCACCAAGGCAACGAUGCAUAGCCGACCUGAGAGGGUGAUCGGCCACACUGGGACUGAGACACGGCCCAGACUCCUACGGGAGGCAGCAGUAGGGAAUCUUCGGCAAUGGACGAAAGUCUGACCGAGCAACGCCGCGUGAGUGAAGAAGGUUUUCGGAUCGUAAAACUCUGUUGUUAGAGAAGAACAAGGAUGAGAGUAAAAUGUUCAUCCCUUGACGGUAUCUAACCAGAAAGUCACGGCUAACUACGUGCCAGCAGCCGCCGCAG
rnacentral:rRNA from 1 species